rnacentral:lncRNA from 1 species
AUGCCUUUACCGCUUUAAGAUAUCUAUCUUUCUAUCUCGUUGUUGCUUAUGCCCACUUGGAGCUAGUGGAGAGAUCGGCAGAGUCGGCGGCCGAGCCCAUUGGGAACUAUGGAAGAUAGUUCUCACCCCACUCUAUUUUUAGUGGUAGGUACAGGUUUGCCGGGAGAGGACCGCGGCAAGGGCAUCACGCCCGAUCAGUGAGUUCGUGGUAGAUAGUAGCUUUCCUUUUUGCAUUUGGCACACCUAUAUAUUUGUGAGAGAUUCAUGUUGGUGAGGUUGGAGAGCUAUGUAUUUUGAUGAUGUAUUCAUUUUGGGAAAGAAAAUGUAAAAGUAAAAAAAUGCAAACUAUUGUAAUAGUUAGUAAAGUACUCUCUUUAUUUCACUUGUAUUUACUUGUGGAUUACUUGCUCUUCUUGUUGUUGGCACUGUUUGUGCCCUGUCGAUCGUGUAUGUAUGAAUUU